rnacentral:rRNA from 1 species
UACGUAGGUGGCAAGCGUUGUCCGGAAUUAUUGGGCGUAAAGGGCGUGUAGGCGGCCUUUUAAGUCAGACGUGAAAACCCUGGGCUUAACCCAGGAACUGCGUUUGAAACUGGAGGGCUUGAGGACCGGAGAGGGUAGUGGAAUUCCCAGUGUAGCGGUGAAAUGCGUAGAUAUUGGGAGGAACACCAGUGGCGAAGGCGACUGCCUGGACGGCACCUGACGCUGAGGCGCGAAAGCUAGGGGAGCAAACGGG